UCUUUUGCCAAGUCCAAAUAGCUUGGAGAAUCAGGGUNUGGGCAAGACUGGUGCCAGCCGCCGCGGUAACACCAGCGCCUCGAGUGGUACCCACGAUUAUUGGGCCUAAAGCGUCCGUAGCCGGCNCAUUAAGUCCGUUGUGAAAUCUUGGGGCUCAACCCUAACGCUUCCAUGGGAUACUGNUGGUCUUGGGAAUGGGGGAGGUUCGAGGUACUUCCAGGGUAGGGGUAAAAUCC
rnacentral:rRNA from 1 species